UACGUAGGGUGCGAGCGUUGUCCGGAAUUAUUGGGCGUAAAGAGCUUGUAGGCGGUCUGUCGCGUCUGCUGUGAAAAUCCGGGGCUCAACCCCGGACUUGCAGUGGGUACGGGCAGGCUGGAGUUCGGUAGGGGAGACUGGAAUUCCUGGUGUAGCGGUGAAAUGCGCAGAUAUCAGGAGGAACACCGGUGGCGAAGGCGGGUCUCUGGGCCGAUACUGACGCUGAGGAGCGAAAGCGUGGGGAGCGAACAGG
rnacentral:rRNA from 1 species